UACGGAGGGUGCAAGCGUUAUCCGGAUUCACUGGGUUUAAAGGGUGCGUAGGCUGUUGUGUAAGUCUGUUGUGAAAGGCGCCGGCUCAACCGGACGAACUGCAAUGGAUACUGCAUGACUUGAAUCAGGUUUAGGUUGGCGGAAUGCGGCAUGUAGCGGUGAAAUGCUUAGAUAUGCCGUAGAACACCGAUUGCGAAGGCAGCUAGCUGGGCCUAGAUUGACGCUGAGGCACGAAAGCGUGGGGAGCGAACAGG
rnacentral:rRNA from 1 species